GAUGAACGCUGGCGGCGUGCCUAAUACAUGCAAGUCGAGCGAACAGACGAGGAGCUUACUCCUCUGACGUUAGCGGCGGACGGGUGAGUAACACGUGGAUAACCUACCUAUAAGACUGGGAUAACUUCGGGAAACCGGAGCUAAUACCGGAUAACAUGUUGAACCGCAUGGUUCAACAGUGAAAGACGGUCUUGCUGUCACUUAUAGGUGGAUCCGCGUCGCAUUAGCUAGUUGGUAAGGUAACGGCUUACCAAGGCAACGAUGCGUAGCCGACCUGUGAGGGUGGUCGGCCACACUGGAGCUGAGACGCGGUCCAGGCUCCUACGGGAGGCAGCAGUAGGGAAUCUUCCGCAGUGGGCGAAAGCCUGGCGGAGCAGCGCCGCGUGAGUGAAGAAGGUCUUCGGAUCGUAAAACUCUGUUAUUAGGGAAGAACAAAUGUGUAAGUAACUAUGCACGUCUUGACGGUACCUAAUCAGAAAGCCACGGCUAACUACGUG
rnacentral:rRNA from 1 species